rnacentral:rRNA from 2 species
CCUGACAGCCAUAGCGGAGGGGAAACACCCGUUCCCAUUCCGAACACGGAAGUUAAGCCCUCCAGCGUCGAUGGUACUCAGGGGUUACCCCCUCGGGAGAGUAGAACGCUGUCAGGC